UAUUUUCAACCAUGUACCGCUGACGUUGUCAGCAACAUGCCCUAGUAGUCACGAUCUGUGAGACUACGACACGAAAAUUCGUGUUGAUCAGACCCAAGACCGCCCAGCUUCCGGUAGUGCGGUUGAUCAGUCAAUAAUUGACUGAUGGAAGC
rfam:Pseudomonas fluorescens Pf-5, complete genome.